CGCAGCCCAACCCCUCCCCCCGUAGGCUGUUCCAGCCGCCGCAGUCACUUGCCCUGCUCUUCCGCAGGGUCCCUCCAGCUUUAGAGAUUCCCAGGAGGGAGGGACCCCGCGGGAAGCUUAGGCAGGCGUUGCCUGUCCGGGUCACCGCUCCUGGGGACUCGCAUCAAGCCAGGACCUGACCUGUGGGAGAUCCCCACCUGCCCUCCACCUGAAUCCUGGAGGCGUGGUUGGGAAGGUUCGGGUGCAGGCUGCUUUCCCCCUGCGCAUCCUUGGGCAAACUGCUCCACUUUGGGGUUCUCAGGCGCCUCUACGGUUAAAUAGGGAGAGCAUUGCUGGUCCGCCUGGGGCCACGGCAGGGUGGGAGAUGAGGGGCUGGGAAUGCGGAGGGCACCCACGUAGCCCUCCAUCCUCAUCCCCGCAGGGUCUGCAGGGAGGCCAGGGGUAGGCCGCUGAAUCUUCCCUGCUCCUGCCCCAUCCCCGGAAGGAAGUUCAUCCCGACUGCAACAGCCACCAUUGCAUCGCGGAGCCUGGGCGCGCCCGCGGAGAUUCCCGUGCCGCGCGCGCCCUCUAGUGCUCAAUCCUCGCCGCUGCACAAUCAUGACUGAGCAAGGGCACCCCAGGAGAGGACCGAAGAAAGGAGGUGUUAAGAAAAUGAGGAGUGGAAAAAUAAGAAUUCACACCCCAUUUGAAUCAAAUGUAUGAUAUGUCAAGAUCAUUGUAAUGUUUUGAGCAUCUAAUAAAGAAAUUUAAAAAAGAAAA